rnacentral:piRNA from 1 species
CACUUUUUGGUUGGUUAAGGGCACUUGU